rnacentral:rRNA from 1 species
CCCCGUACACAAAAAUGCACAUGCUGUGAGCUCGAUGAGUAGGGCGGGACACGUGGUAUCCUGUCUGAAUAUGGGGGGACCAUCCUCCAAGGCUAAAUACUCCUGACUGACCGAUAGUGAACCAGUACCGUGAGGGAAAGGCGAAAAGAACCCCGGCGAGGGGAGUGAAAAAGAACCUGAAACCGUGUACGUACAAGCAGUGGGAGCACAGAGCAAUCUGUGUGACUGCGUACCUUUUGUAUAAUGGGUCAGCGACUUAUAUUCUGUAGCAAGGUUAACCGAAUAGGGGAGCCGAAGGGAAACCGAGUCUUAACUGGGCGUUAAGUUGCAGGGUAUAGACCCGAAACCCGGUGAUCUAGCCAUGGGCAGGUUGAAGGUUGGGUAACACUAACUGGAGGACCGAACCGACUAAUGUUGAAAAAUUAGCGGAUGACUUGUGGCUGGGGGUGAAAGGCCAAUCAAACCGGGAGAUAGCUGGUUCUCCCCGAAAGCUAUUUAGGUAGCGCCUCGUGAAUUCAUCUCCGGGGGUAGAGCACUGUUUCGGCAAGGGGGUCAUCCCGACUUACCAACCCGAUGCAAACUGCGAAUACCGGAGAAUGUUAUCACGGGAGACACACGGCGGGUGCUAACGUCCGUCGUGAAGAGGGAAACAACCCAGACCGCCAGCUAAGGUCCCAAAGUCAUGGUUAAGUGGGAAACGAUGUGGGAAGGCCCAGACAGCCAGGAUGUUGGCUUAGAAGCAGCCAUCAUUUAAAGAAAGCGUAAUAGCUCACUGGUCGAGUCGGCCUGCGCGGAAGAUGUAACGGGGCUAAACCAUGCAC